GAGGAAGGUGGGGAUGACGUCAAGUCCUCAUGGCCCUUAUGUCCUGGGCUACACACGUGCUACAAUAGCGGUGACAGUGGGAAGCCAGGCAGCGAUGCCGAGCUGAUCCUCAAAAGCCGUCUCAGUUCGGAUUGUACUCUGCAACUCGAGUGCAUGAAGGUGGAAUCGCUAGUAAUCGCGGAUCAGCAUGCCGCGGUGAAUACGUUCCCGGGCCUUGUACACACCGCCCGUCACACCAUGGGAUUUGGUUUGACCUUAAGUUGGUGCGCUAACCCGCAAGGGAGGCAGCCAACCACGGUCGGGUUAGAGACUGGGGUGAAGUCGUAACAAGGUAGCCGUAA
rnacentral:rRNA from 1 species